rnacentral:rRNA from 1 species
CCUACGGGAGGCAGCAGUAGGGAAUCUUUCACAAUGGGCGAAAGCCUGAUGGAGCAACGCCGCGUGCAGGAUGAAGGCCUUCUGGUUGUAAACUUCUUUUAUAAGCGAGGAAUAUGUUGGUAACUUAUGAAUAAGGAUCGGCGAACUACGUGCCAGCAGCCGCGGUCAUACGUAGGAUCCGAGCAUUAUCCGGAGUGACUGGGUGUAAAGAGUUGCGUAGGUGGCAUAAUAAGUAGCUAGUGAAAUCUGGUGGCUCAACCAUUCAGACUAUUAGUUAAACUGUUAAGCUCGAGACCGUUAGGGGUAACUGGAAUGUCUGGUGUAGGAGUGAAAUCCGUAGAUAUUAGAAAGAACACCGAUAGCGUAGGCAGGUUACUGGGACGGUUCUGACACUGAGGCACGAAAGCGUAGGGAGCAAACGGGAUUAGAUACCCGAGUAGUC